UACGUGGGGGGCAAGCGUUGUUCGGAAUUACUGGGCGUAAAGGGCUCGUAGGCGGCCAACUAAGUCAGACGUGAAAUCCCUCGGCUUAACCGGGGAACUGCGUCUGAUACUGGAUGGCUAGAGGUUGGGAGAGGGAUGCGGAAUUCCAGGUGUAGCGGUGAAAUGCGUAGAUAUCUGGAGGAACACCGGUGGCGAAGGCGGCAUCCUGGACCAAUUCUGACGCUGAGGAGCGAAAGCCAGGGGAGCAAACGGG
rnacentral:rRNA from 1 species